AUGGGAGCAAGUGCUGAGAAGAGGAGGAGAAGUCAGAGAAGGGUCAGAGGCAGCCCAGAGACAUCCGGAGGUGCAGCAAGUUCUGAGAGGGCGAGCUUCGACCAAGAGGGAGAUGGAAUCAAGUCCCCAGGAAAGACCCCGGGCAGUGCAAGAGGUCUCGGAUGUAUCUCCAAGAAGAGGGAAGAUGGCCUCGUCCUGCAUGCAGUCCUGGCCUCCAAAUCAGCAUUGUGCAAAUAACUGCCAAUCAACUGUCGGUUCGGACGUCUGGAGUGGAAAUGGUGGAAGAGGGCACCGCUGUAACACUUGAUUUCCUCUGAACCGAGGAGUUCCUCUGCGACUCCUCCGGAAGUAUGGAUUGUAAAAAAUGAGCUCUCUGAACCCCGAGUCUGUAUUUUGGAACGCAGAAGGGCUAUGUUUCCCAUUGCACUUUACUUUUCCUUCCUUAGUCUCUUCAUCUGUAAAAUGGGAAAAUUAUACCUCAGAGGGGUGCCUGAAACAGCCCAAAUUUAUGUAUGUGUGCGUCUUUUUUAAUUUUUAUUUUUCAUUAGUACACGUUUGAAGUAUAUAAUGAUUACAUUCUUGGUGGAUGUUUUUGUAUACGUACAUACUUGUAAUAAAGUUUAAAACAGACACCGUAACUUAGCGGAUUAACAACAAAAGUAAUAAAAUAGAACAAUUGUAACUGCACUGAUCUGUAAUGAAAAUAAUGUGAUUGUGGACGCUCACUUGAAAGAUUUAAGACAAGUAGCAAUAUUUUUCCACCUUGUUGACCAUCGGUUCCUGAAACUUGGGAAAGCAAAACCAGGGCUCAGUGGUAGAGGGCUUCCGUAGCAUACAGAAAGCUCUGGCUUCAUUCCCCAGCACUAGGAAAAUAAAGGGUAAAGGGCUAAAGUAAGACUACUCUGUACUUGUGAAGUGCUAAGAAUCAUCCCUUGCAUAUACAAAGUGCUCUAUAAGCAUUAGUAAAAUUACA
rnacentral:lncRNA from 1 species